CGGCAAGCGCCGCCGCCUCGUCGAGAAGGCCCGCGACCGGAUCCACGAGAUCCGCACGCACCUCCACGAGCGCGAGCAGCAGCAGGCGCCGCCCCCGGCGCAGCCCGAGCAAUCGAUCGUGUCCGGUCUCCGAUCGAACAGGCAAGCUGCUGUCAAUGAUGCAUGUUUGUUGCUACCACUUCUCUUUUCUGAACUUCACAUUGGGAGCUCCCACUGCAACUAGCUAGUUAAUUAGGCUAUGUAUGUAAUAUACUAGUGUCAGUGAUCUAGAGAGCAUCGAAAACUUGCUAACUAUUGAAUCAGAUUGGAAAUUAGUGGUAGAAAUA